rnacentral:lncRNA from 1 species
AUGCCUUUAAUUCAUCUGAGAAUUUAUUUUGAUAAAUGUUAUGAGAAAAAAACCCUUUUUUCUUUAAUAACUAAUCACUUUAACACUUUUUUAUAUAGACAUACCUUAUUUUAUCGUGCUUCACACAAAUCUUUUUUUUUUUUUUUUUUAAAAAUUAAGUUUUGGUGUAAAUAUACCUAAUUCAAAGUCCCAGCCUGUCAGUGACUGUUAGGUAGACAUUUCUAUGAACUCCCUUUACCAUCCUUCAGUAAAAUGGAGCUUGCAUUCUUUAACUCAGAGGGUUGUGCUAAGAAUUAAUUACAUAAAAUAGUAUUAAGUGUUAUGUUCAAUAAAUGUUAAAUAUUUGAUGUUCAAUGAAUGUAUCCACUACUGUGGUUGUGAUGUAUAAUCAAAACUACACUUUACAACAACAUUGAUAUUGAAUUAUUGCUCAAUGGUAGCAUACCUUUUGCAUCUGAUUGCAUGUAUGUAUCUCAGAAUACAAAUUUUUCAGAUCAGACUUUUUAUUGAAUUAUAAUUGACAUGGAAUAUUAUAUUAGUCUUGGGUAUAUAGCAUAGUGAUUCAAUAUUUUUGCAUAUUAUGAAAUGAUCGCCUGGAGAGGUCUGGUUAUUACCUAUUAGUAUAAAAAAUUAUUACAAUGUUAUUGACUAUAUUCCAUAGACUGUACAUUGCAUGCCCAUAAAUUACUUAUUUUAUAACUGGAAGUUUGUAACUCUUAAUCCCCUUUACCUAUUCCAACUGUCCCCUGACCCUCUCCCCUCUGGCAACCACUAGUUUGUCCUCUGUAUCUUUCUAUUUCGUUUGUUUACUUUUUUUAGAUUCUACACAUAAGUGAAAGCAUAUGGUAGUUGUCUUUUUCUGAUUUACUCACUUAACACAAUGCCUUUAAAGUGUAUCUGUGUUGUUGCAAAUGGUAAGAUUUCAUUCUUUUUUUUUUUUUACAGUUGAAAAAUAUUCUUUUGUAUAUCACAUCUUCUUUAACAUUUUUCUCAAUGGACACUUAGGGUUACUUCCAUAACUUGGCUAUUGUAAAUAAUGCUGCAGGAAACACGGGCAUGUAUAUAUAUUUUCCAAUUAGCGUUUUUGUUUUCUUUGUAUAAAUACCCAUAAGUGGAAUUGCUGGAUCACAUGAUAUCUAAUCUACUUUUGAGAACUUUUUGAGGAAAAUUUUAUACUGAUUUCCACAGUGGCUGAACCAGUUUGCAUUCCCACCAACAGUGCAGGAGGGUUCCAGGGUUCCACAUCCUCACCAACACUUAUUUCUUGUGUUUUUGAUAAUAGCCAUUCUGAUAAGUGUGAGGUGAUAUCUCAUUGAGGUUUGGAUAAGGCAGCCUAUAGAAGAGUCUUGUUUUCCUUAUCCAUUUAGCC